GGGCGUUUAGCUCAGCUGGUAGAGCACUUGCUCGACAAGCAAGGGGUCACUGGUUCAAGUCCAGUAACGCCCACCA
rnacentral:tRNA from 1 species